CGGCGGCGUUCACGUCAGCCCGGUAGCUGCGCCGGGCUGCGCCGCCGGGGGGCGCUGUCUUUGCCCCGUCUGCUCUGAUCCGCACCGGGCCGGGCCGGGCCGGGCCGGGGGCGGUGCCCGGAAAAACAAGAUACAAACUUUCUCUUUAUUCUCUUGCAUAUGUGAAAGUACAGACUGCAUCAUACACUAGAGAGCUACAUGGAGAUUUUACUUUGCAAAUGGAGCAGCAUGCUGGCAGCAAAAAGGAUGAAAGCCUUUGAACAGCUCCUUUGGCCAUAGAAAUCAGCCCAGGAUCUCCUUCAGGCUGCAAUUUUAUUCAUCACUAUUUCCUAGAUUUUUUUCUAGCACCAAGAUAAAUUUCAGUUUUAAAAAAGAGUCCCAGUGAAAGAGAUACAUGUUAUAAAGAUAUGUAACAGCUGUCGUUGAAGUACUUUAUAUGCCUUGGUAUAAAGCAAAAAUACACAAAACAAAUAUGUUUAUAUUGAAGACUUAAUUUUAUCCAGGUGAAUGGAAAUAGGCAACAAAUCCAGUCAUGCAAGCUUGCGUCCUUAGCAAAACUUCAACUCUCAUACAGUAAAUGGUCUUUGCAGACUGCAGAUGAGGAGAUGAGCUGAGAGGCAAUAAGUAAGAGCUCAAGUCUCUGCAGGACGCAC